rnacentral:rRNA from 1 species
UACAGAGGUCUCAAGCGUUGUUCGGAUUCAUUGGGCGUAAAGGGUGCGUAGGUGGUCAGGUAAGUCGGAUGUGAAAUCCCGGGGCUCAACCCUGGAACUGCAUUCGAUACUGCCCGGCUAGAGUACUGGAGAGGAGAUUGGAAUUUACGGUGUAGCAGAUGAAUGCGUAGAUAUCGUAAGGAAGACCAGUGGCGAAGGCGGAUCUCUGGACAGUUACUGACACUGAGGCACGAAGGCCAGGGGAGCAAACGGG